rnacentral:lncRNA from 1 species
GCCGUGGAAACUGCGAGAGUUAAGAAGUGCCUUGCAGGAGGCUGGGUUCCUGCGGGCUCGCUAGGUGGUUUCUCUGAGGAGCCUCUGCGGCAUUGCGCUCUCACCUUGACCAGAGGGUGCUCCAGCCAGUACUCCCGGGCUGAGGUUAAAUGCAGUGAGCUAGUCAUCGAAUUAUGAGGGCAAGAAUUCGCUAUGGUUAUUGGAAUGCCAUCUGAAGCCCUACUGUUCGGAAUCCAGUCCUGUCUUCACCGCGUUCUUUGAUUUGGUGGCAGCAGUGAGAUUGAAGGAGACUUCUGACAGCUUCAGGGACAAUGAGAAAUACAGGCCCAAUGCCCUGUGAAUCCUUUGAGUUCUUUGUCUUUUUUGAAGUUUCUGAGGGCCACAGGGCUUCCAGAGAUCUCAUAUAGAGCCAUGGAUCAUGAAUCCUACCCUGAAGCUCAGCAAAGCAGCAUCUGAUGAGAAUGGGAUGAAAAUUGAACGAGCACACCGAACUACCACUAUCCUUAUGCAAAAGCAAGUUUGGAGUUGCUGGCAGGGUUCUCAGGCCCCCUGUACAAAUGCUCUUGAACUGAUUCUGCUUCUGUAAUGGCUUCUCAUUUCAAAUAAAACAUUGACACGGAUAAAGCAAUCUCUUUUUUAUUGUGGCAAAAUAUAUAUGAUAGAAACUUUGCCACUUAAGCUAUUUUAAGUGUACAGUGUAGUGGCAUUAAUUACAUUCACAAUAUUAUGCCGCCAUCACCGCUACCUAUUUCUAAAAUUUUUCAUCACCCCUAAAAGAAAUUCUGUACCCAUUAAGCAAUAACCCCCUAUUUUUCGAUCCCUCCCAUUCCUAGUCCCUGGUAACCACUAAUCUAUUUUCUGUCCCUAUGAGUUUGCCUAUUCAAGAUAUUUUCUAUAAGCGGAACCAUGUAAUUUUUAUUCUUUGCGCCUGGCUUAUUUUGCUCAGAAUGAUAUUUUCUAGGUUCAUUCAUGUAUCUAGUAUUUAAUUCCUUUUUGUGGCUGAAUAAUAUUCUAUUGUAUGGGCAGGCAUACCAUAUUUUAUUUAUCCAUUCAUCUGUUGAUGGACACUUGGGUUGUUUCCACCUCUUGGCUAUUGUGAGUAGGGUUGCGAUGAACAUUGGUGAACAGAUAUCUUUUCUUUGAGUCCCUACUUUCACUUCAGAAUAGUAAUUCUGUGUUAAAUUUUUGAAAAACUGCCACACUUUUUUACAGUGACCUCACCAUUUUACUUCCAUCAGCAGGGCAUGGGGGCUCUGAUUUCUUCAACUUCUCAUCAACACUUCUUAUUUUCUGAUUUUUUAAAGAUGAUAGCUGUUUUAAUUGGAGUGAAGAGUAUUUCUUUUUGGUUUUGCUUUACAUUUCCCUAAUGACUAGUGACAUGGAACAUCUUAUCUUUUGCUUAUUGGCCAUUUGUAUAUCUUCUUUGGCAAAUGUUUUUUUUCAAUUCUGUUGCCUAUUUUAUUUUUUUCUUCUUUUUCGGCCACCCCCUGGGCAUAUGGAAGUUCCUGGGCCAGGGAUCAAAUUCAAGCCACAGCUCUGACCUAUGCCACAGCUGUGGCAGCCCUGGAUCCUUAAUCUACUGCACCGGGCUGAGGAUCAAACUCAUGCCUCCACAUAGACAAUGCCAGAUCCUUAACCCAUUGUGCCACAGCAGGAAUUCUUCCUUUGCCUAUUUUAAAAUUGGGUUGUUUGUCUUUUUGUUGUUGAGUUGUAGGAGAUCUUUCUGUAUUUUGGAUAUUAAACCUGAUUCAGAUAUAUGAUUUGUAAUUAUUUUUCUCCCAUUCUGUGGGUUAUCUUUUCACUCUCUUGAUGUCCUUCAAUUCACAGAAGCUUUCAAUUUUAAUGAAGUGCAUUUAAUUAAUUUUUUUCUUUUGUUACUGUUCUUUUGGUAUGGUAUUUAAGAAACCAUAUUCCAGGUAGUUCCUGCUGUGGUGCAGUGGGUUAAAGAUCUGGUGUUGCUGCAGCUGUGUUGUAGUUUGCAGCUGUGGCUCAGAUUUGGUCCCUUCCAUAUGCUGUGGGUGUGACCAAAAAAGGGGGAAAAUAAAGAAAGAAACUAUACUCCAAACCAUAGUAAUGAAGAUUUGUACUUAACGUUUUCUUCUAUGAAUUUAGGUCUUUGAUCCAUUUUGAGUUAGUUUUUGUAGGUGGUAUAUAUUAAGGUCUGCUGCUUUUGACAGUCUUGAGUCAUAAGUUCUCUUGGCUCUUUCUCCAAAUUUGACUUCAUAGCAUUGUUUCUACCAUUGAAAAAAAAAUCCACACCUGAGGAUUCGUUAUGCAUCUAGGACCUUAAUCCCAUCAAGUUUCUGCAAGUAAGAGUCACUUAACCUAUGUGCUCUAUGCUAGUGUGUCAGAGAAAGAUAUCAGAUAUAAACAUGGAAUACCAGAAGAUUGGUCACCAACUCUAAGAUAAGGAUGUUUUCUUACAUUAUUGUGCAGGAGAACCAUGUAUUUACCACAUGUCUAAUCAAAUAUAAAUGAAUAAAAAAGUAUAAAGAGUAUAAUAUGUA